rnacentral:rRNA from 1 species
UUGUAAUUUAGAGAAGUGUUAUCCGUGCUGGACCGUGUACAAGUCUCCUGGAAUGGAGCGUCAUAGAGGGUGAGAAUCCCGUCUUUGACACGGACUGCCAGUGCAUUGUGAUGCGCUCUC